AUUCACUAUUAGAUUACAUUAGAUGUAUCAAUUGUAUGGCACAAAUACAUUUUUUUUAAAAAAAAUAAGUCACAGGUUUUGUUUUACUUAAUUUAUUAUUUUUUUUACGAGUUUUGAAUGACUUAGCUGCAUUUCAUGUUUUUUUAACAAAACCAUUUAGGCCAUGGAUCUUGGAUUAUUCAUCACUGUUAUUGCUUUUGUUGCUCUCAAUGUACAAACACAGAAUAAGCAUUAAAAAGAUAGUAAGUUCAACAAAAUAGACAUAAACUACUGUGGACAGAGAUAUUCACCGAUCAGCCAUAACAUUGUGACCACUGACAGGUGAAGUGAAUAACACAGAUUAUCUGUCGGUAUGUGUAUGUGUGUUUAUAUAUCAUAAACAACAACAAUAACAUUUGACAGUAAGGCAAUAGUACAGAGUGCAGAGGAUGAUGAAAUAAACAUUUUUGUGCAGGUUUUAUUUUGUAAUGGAUUUUUUGGGAUGGCACACAGGCCACAGGUUUGAAUCCAACCCGGGCCCCUGCAGUAAGGACUCAGCAUACAUGGGGAGCACACUUUACCAGGUGAACUACCAUGCACGCCCGGUUUUCUUUAUUUAUAUAUUCAAGGUGGGUGGAUAUUACAGUAUACAUUACGUAGAGCAUGCAUACAUGUGUUUGCAGUGUUUAUAUUUAUAAGUUCUAACAAUAAUUCUACAAUGCAAAUAAAUAAUUUACAGGUAAUGAGAAACUUUCUUAAUAUUUUGAUUUAGUAUCUCAAAAUAUGACUUAGCAUCACAAAGUCAUUAUUUUAGAGAUACUAAUUCAAAAUACUCCUUAUCAUGACUUACAAAAUCUUUUUUUUCCGUCACAUUGGCGGAAAUGGGCUUCCAUACUUCCAUACAUUAAAAAUUAACAUUCUUCCAGCAUACUGCAGGACAACCACAGAGUCGCUCCUUAUUGAAGUGUAGUGAGUCAGUUGACAGUUUGUGUGUCUGUGUGAUUGGGUUGGUUCAACCCAGCCCCCCUGCAGCCUCAUGGCCCGCGCUGUCCAAUCCCUCUGCUUUAUUUGCAUGUUAUGUCAUUUGGGCGGCCUGUGUGUGUGUGGCUGAGGGGAGGAAAUUAAAAGCGACCGUCUGCGUCCGAUCGCUCUUUCCAGGCAGGCAGAGGAGCACUGGGUCUGCAGGCGGGAAAGUGGAAAAAUCAGCUAGCCAUGAAUGCGAGCUAACACGACAUGAUGACCCAAUGACCCCCGUUUGUGAGCGAAUGCAGUCCUGUUUUGUCAAGAACUCCUGGAAUGGUCCUGGAAAACGAUUUCUCAAAGAAAUGUUGUAUUUAAACUAAUAAAAACUAAAGUAAAGCUAAACAUUUUUAAACAUUAAAAACUAAACUGAAAUGAGAAAACCAAACUAACUGAAAUCAAAUAAACUAAUGACGCAUAAUGGCUGCAUGGAAGUUAUUAGUGUUUCAUCAUAUAUAUGCAGUUAUAUAAACAUUACGAAAGAAAGAAAUGCUGCAUAUAAAAAAAAACUACUUACUACUACCUACUUACUUACUACACGGGACAUAUAAAUGCAUUCUUGUAUGUCCUUUUGAUAAAGUACCUGCAAAUACAUCUAAAAUCCAUUUUUGCCUUUUCUGAGAAUGGAAUGCUACUAAUCUACAUGUACACACACAUUCUGCCUGUCUGUGUGCACACAGUCUUUCAUGCUAAAGCCAUACCAUGAUGAAACCGCCACAGAGCUGCUCAGUUUGCCCUUCGGACCUACAGUCAAGAGUUUCACAUUUUUGCACAGAGCUUUAUUAUGAAAUGCCUGCACACACACACACACACACACACUCUCUCUCUCUCAUACACACACACACACACAUACACACACACACACACACACACACACACACACACACACACACACAAAGCUAACAGAAGCACAGGCAUGUUCUGUCUUGCUGAGUUUAUUCUGAAGUCAGUGUUCUGUGUGCCCUUUAGCCAAAGACAAACUAGUAAAAACUGACACCUUUCACUUGUUUCAUAGUUGUAAAGUACUUGCAAGUCUAAAAACAGCAUAUGCAGGAUGUAGCUCUUAGAACAAUAAACCCCCACUUGCUUUAUAAAAUGUGACAUUCUUUCCCUCCUAUGUGACAUAAUUCAUAUACUUUGAGUGCUUGUACUAAUUCCAA
rnacentral:lncRNA from 15 species